rfam:Macleaya cordata isolate BLH2017 scaffold8949, whole genome shotgun sequence.
GAGAGCACAGUACGAUGAAAGUUGUAAGCUGUGUUCGGGGGGAGUUAUUGUCUAUCGUUGGCCUCUAUGCGAUUGGUUGUCUGUUACCGUGGUCUUGCUGUCUACUGGACGGUCGACCAUAU